rnacentral:lncRNA from 1 species
AUUAAUUUGAUUAUAAAUGAACUAUUUAAAUUUAGGGCAUGUUUGAGCCACAAUAUUCUAAAAAAUGUAUUUUUAAACAGUGAUUUGAUAUCAUUUCAAUCACACAUUCUUCAAUAAAAUAAUAUUACACACAAAUCAAAAUAUUUUCCUUAUUUUUUAACUACACAUUUCCCAUCAAUACACUAUUCAAGAAUACAUUAUUACCAAAAUAAUGUGGCUCAAACACCCCCUUAAAUAAUUGAACAUUAGAUUUGGGUUGGGAAUGAAGUUAAUUGUGCUAAAAAUUAAUUUAUAGACUAGGCUAAAUUUUUAUUCUUCUUUAUUUCACCAAUAAAUUGGACUGAAUUUUCCAUUUUUUACAAGUCAAUUAGCUAUUGGGCUGAGGCUGGGCUACAGCCCACCCCAGCCCCCCUCUCCCUCCGUCUCUGGUGAUGGCUGUCAUAUUAACUAUUUUAAGUUGGCAACUGAGGUAUUCAGCAAGUAUUUUAUCUUCCAUGGAACCAGGCAUACUGAUGAAUACAAACAUAGAAAGAGUACUUACAAAAGAUGUAACAUGACAGGAUAGAAAUUGAAUGAAUGAUGGCUUUAACAUAUAAAUCACUGCAACAUUGGUUACACAGGCCAUUAAUUAAUUAAUGCAUGUAAAUUUGGUAAAUUGUUCAAUAAUGCUGCAGAGUCUUUUAUCUUCAUAGGUCUUAUUAUCGAAUUUUAUAUCGACGGCAAAAUAGCAUAAAAACUCUAGACCAAACCAAUAGCCAAAAUAUUGAGCCAGAGCCGGCCUUGAGAAUUAGGAGGCCCUAAGCAACAAAAUAUUUUGAGGCCCACGUACUUUUUUCUUUUACACGUGUAACAAUAUUAAAUUAAAUAAAAAAAUAUAUCUAUAUUUAAAUGAAAAAUUUGUACAAUCUAAAAGAUAAAAUUGCAAAAUUAAAAAUCACUUACAAUCCGAGAUAUUAGGCUAGCAUCAUCUCUUGUGACAUGGUUGAUCGAAGAUAAGAUUUAAUCAAUUUCAACUUUGAAAAACUUCUUUCAACGGAUGCAACGACAACGGUACAGGAGAGAAGCAUACCUUCAAUGACAAAGAAACUGCACGUGCAAGCUCAGUAUCUUCUAGAUGGGACUGCCUAGGCUGAUGAGUGGGAUUCCUAAGAUCCUGUAUCAGAUCAACAUAUUUCGAUAAUUACAACUCACAUUACAGGGAAAAAAUGACUCAUACAUUCAAACUGAAUCACAUACAACGUGAUCAUCAAAUUGUUGAUUUGACAUUGCAGCAUCCCAUUUGGAAGCCUCAAUGUGCAGUUUAAGAAACAUCUUCAAUUAUAGGAGUAGUAUCAGACAACCAGAAGCUCCACUACCAUCCUUAACCUCAAUUGGGAUCUCCCUCACCUCUCUUGGAUGUGAAACAAAUGAUGAACCACUACCAAAACCAGUACCACUAUCAAAUAUAGUUCUGGUGAAGUUUGGAUCAAGUAAAGAAAAUGGAUUCAAAUCCCUAGCAGAGGGUAAUAGCGAAAAAGGUCUAAGGGUUCAGCUAGAAUCGGGUCAUCUAUAUCCAUAACAUCAUUCCAAGGAGCAGUGAAAGAUGCCUCUUGCGUUCUAAACACAGAGAAACAAUAAUGUAAUAGAAGAUGUUUUGAUUUAAAAGUACAUAGGUAUUUGAAGGGAAAGAAGAAGGAAAAAAAGAAAGAUUCAAAAGGACUGGAAAAAUGCCUACAUGUUUCUAUACCUCACUGAAAUGUGAAUUGACAGCUUCAUUCAGGUUGCCAUGAUGCUCCUUCUCAACACAGCACAUAUAAUAUACUUGGGCAAUAAAAUCAAACACAACAUUCAAAACCUCCUUUCAAAUAAAUUAUUUUGCAGGUUAGUUUGCAUACCAAAAAAAAAAAAAAAUAGAGGGCAACAGCACAUAAAGGUUUCACAUAUCAUAAAAUUCUAAGAUAACCAAUGAUUAAUGAAUUUCAAUAUUCUUCCAGUUAAUCAAAGAUUCUGGCUCUGCAAACUUAGUGGUUUAAUCAUCACACCAUCCAAAUUCAGUAUAAUUUCUUCCUCGUCUACCAAUAAUCAUCAUUCUAAAUUCCAAAAAUCCAAAGACAGAAAGAGCUUUGCUAUUAAUUAUUAUAUGAUAAACCAAUUACAAUUUACCUGAAUAGAUGAGCAGGGUCGGGAAAAAACAGCAAACUUUUGGAAGGAGAUGUCUUCUGCCGACUGCCGAGAUGGGCGCUAGAAAGCCAGGAGACUGAGGAGAGGAGGAUACUGAUUACUGAAGAAUUAUGAUUUUUGAAUUGGAAAAAGUAAAAUGUAAUCAAGCGGUGGAAGAUUGGAAAUCCAACCCUUAACCCUUUUCUAUUUCGAAUUGGAGCUCGUAUGAAUUUGGAAUUUGCAGAGGAGAUUUGGGAAUUCUGAAUGGAAGAAGAAGACUUUCCCUUCGGCUGAAUGGGUGAUAGGUCCCUUCAAUUUCAUUUUCCUUCCUGCACCAGCGUUUGGCGUCCCUUUCCUUCUUUAACCCUUUCAAUUUGAUGCCCAGGUGCUGGACUGCCGGUAUGAAAUCUAAGGCCCUGGGCCCAAUCCACAUUUUUGAGGCCCUAGGCCUUUGCCUAGGUGGCUUAGCCUCAGGAUCGGCCCUGAAUACAAGGAACAAAUGGAACAAUAAGAACACAAUCCCAUGUCCUUCAUGCACAAAACCAAUAAUAAAAGCCAAAAAAGAAGCUUAGAGAAGAAAAGGAUAUGCUCCCCUUCCCCAUAAAGAAUACAAUCACUCAUACAAGAUGAGUAAAUUAAUCAUUUUCGCUGAUUGGAUGAUAUAAUAAUGAAAACCUUUCACCUAAAAUACCAGAAAACAUAAGCUGUCAGCUCAUAUCCAUCUCUGAUCCUCGAUCAAACAAAAGCAGCCGUCUGGAGCAAAUAGCAACAAAUAGAGAUAAAGAGAGUAAAGACGUGCUACAUAUUUUGAGUUCGAUCUCUGUAUACAUUUUCAGCCAUUACGUAUCAAGGAAGAAGUAGAGAAAAAAUGAAUGGAAAGAAAAGAAAGAACCGAUUUAUUACAUAAUAUAUGAUUAUGCACUUAUAUAUUUGAGAGAGAUCUUCAACCACAAAAAAUGCUAGUUGAUAAGGUUUAACUGUGUCAAAAUCAUGCAUCCGAAUAAGAGUGAGUGUUUUUCUUUCGAAGGACAGGAGAAGAAAUUUGGGUGCAGCCGAUGCAGAAAUUAGGACGCUUUCUUCAAAAGGACGAACGAAAAUAAGAGCAAAAUUGUGGUACUUCUCAAACUAUGUGAAUUGCACUAAGUAAAACUUUUAUCAAGAUUUUUACUGUAAUAAACAGAAUCCUAACCUGCUAUAGAUAAAGAUGUAGGGAUUGGCAAAUAAUAGCAUCUGCAGAUUACAAAGAUAUAGUUAGUAGUUAUACUGAAGAAUCCUAAACUUGCAGAUUCUAGAUGCAUCUUUAGUUAUCAGCAAGAAAAAUAUCGCAUUUACGAUAAUCCAAAAGAGAUCGUUCCAGUUGUGCUGUAGGGAGAUGCGACAAAUUUUCUCGAAAGCUAUACUUGAAAGAAGAUGAGCAAUCAAGAUCAAUGACAAGAAUCCAACCC